GACGAACGCUGGCGGCGUGCUUAAUACAUGCAAGUCGAGCGAUGAAGCUUCUUCGGAAGUGGAUUAGCGGCGGACGGGUGAGUAACACGUGGGUAACCUGCCUCAUAGAGGGGAAUAGCCUUCCGAAAGGAAGAUUAAUACCGCAUAAGAUUGUAAUAUCGCAUGAUAUAGCAAUUAAAGGAGCAAUCCGCUAUGAGAUGGACCCGCGUCGCAUUAGCUAGUUGGUGAGGUAACGGCUCACCAAGGCGACGAUGCGUAGCCGACCUGAGAGGGUGAUCGGCCACAUUGGGACUGAGACACGGCCCAGACUCCUACGGGAGGCAGCAGUGGGGAAUAUUGCACAAUGGGGGAAACCCUGAUGCAGCAACGCCGCGUGAGUGAUGACGGUCUUCGGAUUGUAAAGCUCUGUCUUUAGGGAAGAUAAUGACGGUACCUAAGGAGGAAGCCACGGCUAACUACGUGCCAGCCGCCGCCGUAAUAC
rnacentral:rRNA from 1 species